rnacentral:rRNA from 1 species
CGAAAACGAAUUCUCUCUUGAGUGGAUCCUGAGUACGACGGAGCACGUGAAAUUCCGUCGGAAUCUGGGAGGACCAUCUCCUAAGGCUAAAUACUCUCUAGUGACCGAUAGUGAACCAGUACCGUGAGGGAAAGGUGAAAAGUACCCCGGAAGGGGAGUGAAAGAGAACUUGAAACCGUGUGCUUACAAGUAGUCAGAGCCCGUUAAUGGGUGAUGGCGUGCCUUUUGUAGAAUGAACCGGCGAGUUACGAUCUGAUGCAAGGUUAAGCAGAAAAUGUGGAGCCGUAGCGAAAGCGAGUCUGAAUAGGGCGAAUGAGUAUUUGGUCGUAGACCCGAAACCAGGUGAUCUACCCUUGGUCAGGUUGAAGUUCAGGUAACACUGAAUGGAGGACCGAACCGACUUACGUUGAAAAGUGAGCGGAUGAACUGAGGGUAGCGGAGAAAUUCCAAUCGAACUUGGAGAUAGCUGGUUCUCUCCGAAAUAGCUUUAGGGCUAGCCUCAAGUGAUGAUUAUUGGAGGUAGAGCACUGUUUGGACGAGGGGCCCCUCUCGGGUUACCGAAUUCAGACAAACUCCGAAUGCCAAAUAAUUUAACUUGGGAGUCAGAAUGUGGGUGAUAAGGUCCAUAUUCGAAAGGGAAACAGCCCAGACCACCAGCUAAGGUCCCAAAAUAUAUGUUAAGUGGAAAAGGAUGUGGCGUUGCCCAGACAACUAGGAUGUUGGCUUAGAAGCAGCCAUCAUUUAAAGAGUGCGUAAUAGCUCACUAGUCGAGUGACACUGCGCCGAAAAUGUACCGGGGCUAAACAUAUUACCGAAGCUGUGGAUUGUCCUUUGGACAAUGGUAGGAGAGCGUUCUAAGGGCGUUGAAGCAUGAUCGCAAGGACAUGUGGAGCGCUUAGAAGUGAGAAUGCCGGUGUGAGUAGCGAAAGACGGGUGAGAAUCCCGUCCACCGAUUGACUAAGGUUUCCAGAGGAAGGCUCGUCCGCUCUGGGUUAGUCGGGUCCUAAGCUGAGGCCGACAGGCGUAGGCGAUGGAUAACAGGUUGAUAUUCCUGUACCACCAUUAUUCGUUUUAAGCGAUGGGGGGACGCAGUAGGAUAGGCGAAGCGUGCUGUUGGAGUGCACGUCCAAGCAGUGAGAUUGAGUGUUAGGCAAAUCCGGCACUCUUAAGAUUGAGCUGUGAUGGGGAGAGGAACUUGUUCCUCGAGUCGUUGAUUUCACACUGCCGAGAAAAGCCUCUAGCUAGAAUAACGGUGCCCGUACCGCAAACCGACACAGGUAGUCAAGAUGAGAAUUCUAAGGUGAGCGAGCGAACUCUCGUUAAGGAACUCGGCAAAAUGACCCCGUAACUUCGGGAGAAGGGGUGCUCUUUGAGGUUCACGCUUCGAAGAGCCGCAGUGAAUAGGCCCAAGCGACUGUUUAUCAAAAACACAGGUCUCUGCUAAACCGUAAGGUGACGUAUAGGGGCUGACGCCUGCCCGGUGCUGGAAGGUUAAGAGGAGUGGUUAGCG